rnacentral:rRNA from 1 species
CCUACGGGUGGCAGCAGUGAGGAAUAUUGGUCAAUGGGCUUACGCCUGAACCAGCCAAGUCGCGUGAGUGAAGACUGCCCUAUGGGUUGUAAACCUCUUUUGUCAGGGAGCAACGCCGUCUACGUGUAGCCGGACUGAUAGUACCUGAAGAAACAGCAUCCGCUAACUAAGUGCCAGCAGCCGCGGUAAUACGUAGGGGGCGAGCGUUAUCCGGAUUCACUGGGUGGAAAGGGAGCGUAGACGGCCAUGCAAGCCAGGGGUGAAAGCCCGCGGCCCAACCCCGGGACUGCCCUUGGAACUGCAUGGCUGGAGUGCGGGAGGGGCAGGCGGAACUCCUGGUGUAGCGGUGAAAUGCGUAGAUAUAAGGAGGAACACCGGCGGCGAAGGCGGCCUGCUGGACCGCGACUGACGUUGAGGUUCGAAAACGUGGGGAGCGAACAGGAUUAGAUACCCCAGUAGUC